CUGGCUCAGGAUGAACGCUGCGGCGUGCUUAACACAUUCAAGUCGAACGGACCUAAGCAAUUAGGUAGCGGCGGACGGUGAGUAACGCGUGAGCAACCUGACCUCUAUGAGAGGAAUAACAGUUGGAAACGACUGCUAAUACCACAUAAUGUAUGGAUACCGCAUGAUAACCAUACCAAAGAGCAAUCGCAUAGAGAUGGGCUCGCGUCCCAUUAGACAGUUGGUGAGGUAACGGCCCACCAAAUCUACGAUGGGUAGCCGGACUGAGAGGUUGAACGGCCACAUUGGAACUGAGAAACGGUCCAGACUCCUACGGGAGGCAGCAGUGGGGAAUAUUGGGCAAUGGGCGAAAGCCUGACCCAGCGACGCCGCGUGAGGGAAGAAGGUCUUCGGAUUGUAAACCUUAGUCAACAGGGAAGAAGAAAGUGACGGUACCUGUAGAGGAAGCCACGGCUAACUACGUGCCAGCAGCUGC
rnacentral:rRNA from 1 species